AUACGGAGGAUCCGAGCGUUAUCCGGAUUUAUUGGGUUUAAAGGGUGCGCAGGCAGCCAUUUAAGUCAGCGGUUAAAUCGUGGGGCUCAACCCCAUUCUGCCGUUGAUACUGGGUGGCUUGAUUGCGGUCGAGGUUGGCGGAAUUCGUUGUGUAGCGGUGAAAUGCAUAGAUAUGACGAAGAACACCGAUUGCGUAGGCAGCUGACCAGAACGCAAAUGACGCUCAUGCACGAAAGUGCGGGGAUCGAACAGGAUUAGAUACCCUGGUAGUCCGCACAGUAAACGAUGAAUACUUGUUUUCGGCGAUAUAAUGUCGGAGGCAAAGCGAAAGCGAUAAGUAUUCCACCUGGGGAGUACGCCGGCAACGUUGAAACUCAAAGGAAUUGACGGGG
rnacentral:rRNA from 1 species